rnacentral:misc_RNA from 1 species
AAGUCGUAACAAGGUCUCCGUUGGUGAACCAGCGGAGGGAUCAUUACAGAGUUGCAAAACUCCCCAAACCAUUGUGAACCUACCGCUAAACAGUUGCUUCGGCGGGUGGCCAGCGAGGGCCCCUUCAGGGGGGGCCGGAGCGCGCCCUAGACAGCCCGCCGGAGGUACCCAAACUCUUUGUUUAACUAAAGGCCUCUCUGAGUACUGUACUUUUAAAAAAAGUCAAAACUUUCAACAACGGAUCUCUUGGUUCUG